rnacentral:rRNA from 1 species
UACGUAGGGGACGAGCGUUGUCCGGAUUUACUGGGCGUAAAGCGCACGUAGGCGGAUCGAUCAGUCAGGGGUGAAAUCCCAGAGCUCAACUCUGGAACUGCCUUUGAUACUGUCGAUCUGGAGUAUGGAAGAGGUGAGUGGAAUUCCGAGUGUAGAGGUGAAAUUCGUAGAUAUUCGGAGGAACACCAGUGGCGAAGGCGGCUCACUGGUCCAUUACUGACGCUGAGGUGCGAAAGCGUGGGGAGCAAACAGG